CCUACGGGGGGCAGCAGUGAGGAAUAUUGGUCAAUGGGCGAGAGCCUGAACCAGCCAAGUCGCGUGAAGGAAGACAGUCCUAAGGAUUGUAAACUUCUUUUAUACGGGAAUAACGGGCGAUACGAGUAUUGCAUUGAAUGUACCGUAAGAAUAAGCAUCGGCUAACUCCGUGCCAGCAGCCGCGGUAAUACGGAGGAUGCGAGCGUUAUCCGGAUUUAUUGGGUUUAAAGGGUGCGUAGGUUGUUCGGUAAGUCAGCGGUGAAACCUGAGCGCUCAACGUUCAGCCUGCCGUUGAAACUGCCGGGCUUGAGUUCAGUGGCGGCAGGCGGAAUUCGUGGUGUAGCGGUGAAAUGCAUAGAUAUCACGAGGAACUCCGAUUGCGAAGGCAGCUUGCCAUACUGCGACUGACAC
rnacentral:rRNA from 1 species